GGAGACCAAGAAUCACAUUGUAGUAAUCAGACAAGUACCCAAAGAUAUAAUCUCCACACCCUUAAAUAUGUAGAAGUAGACUACUUCAUGACUCUUUAGCAAUGAACAUUUAUGUCCGUAUGGUUGAACGAAAUGUCGUGUACAAAUAAUUGCUAAAUCGUAAAUAAACUGUUGCACGCGUACGCGUACAUGUUUAGCGAUUUUUAUUCUGUAGAUAAGUUGAUUCAUCUUAAAUUAUCCCCACGAAGAAUAUUUGUAGUCAUAUGUUUAUCAGCGAUGUUGCAGGUCCUAAAGUGUUCUUGCAAGUUGGCAGCAUGAUAAUUGUAGUUAUUUUGUUAGAAUCCGAUAAAAUUGUAAUGUGAAUGAUGGUAUUAGGUCCAUUCGUAUGACCCAAUAGCUUGACACCUUGGCUGCGGUGCUGGCCAGUCUUGGAUGCAACAUUGCUUGUCUGACACCACUUCGCAACCGCCCGACUGGUGCUGCCGCUAGCUAGCUGGGCUUGAAUUAGGCUGACCCAAGGCCUGACCUAAGUCUAUUUAACCUAUUUGUCCCUUAUAAAUAGAAGGCUUCCUCCCCCAUGAGGAGGAUCCCUUCCGAAAUCUCUCUCACUUUAAGGAUCAACCUCCAUUAUGCUCAUACUCACACCCACCACACCUAGAUGGUCCCCUCCGGCCAGGAGGAACCAUCUUCUUUCACACACCGAUUCGACUUGAUCUUCGGAGCCUGCUCCCAGGGCACUAUCCAUAGGGUGGUUUUAACGGUCUUGUUGUAUGUUGCAGCUAGGAAUCCCGUCGGGAACAUGCCAACGACGCAUAUCUCCGAUCCACAAUCCAGAUCCAACACUCAAGACCCGAUGACCCGGAUUCCGAUGUCACAUCAUUGGCGCCAUGCGUGGGACUCAAACCCACGAUCACGUAUGGUUAUUUUAAUGAAUAAUUCUAAAACAAAUGGUAAUAUUAGGACAUAGUACAAUUUGGAAUUGUUGCCCUUUCCGUUCAAUUGCAACUUCCUUGAAAUUUCGUGAGAGGUUCAUCCAAAUUUCUUGCAGCAUCUGCAAAGGUUCGGCUAAAUUUCCUGCAACAUUGUUAUAAAAGGGAUGUUGGUUUUGUAAACAAUUAGCAUCAAGUUACAUUUUACUUGUGUAAAGAUUUCAAACAUGAGCGAAUACAAUAAAUCAUUGGAUUCCUUGUUUU